UACGUAGGCAGCGAGCGUUGUUCGGAGUUACUGGGCGUAAAGCGUGCGCAGGCGGUUCUAUAAGACAGAUGUGAAAUCCCCGGGCUCAACCUGGGAACUGCAUUUGUGACUGUAGAGCUGGAGUACGGUAGAGGGGGAUGGAAUUCCGCGUGUAGCAGUGAAAUGCGUAGAUAUGCGGAGGAACACCGAUGGCGAAGGCAAUCCCCUGGACCUGUACUGACGCUCAUGCACGAAAGCGUGGGGAGCAAACAGG
rnacentral:rRNA from 1 species